ensembl:lncRNA
CGUCGCUGCGCAGGUGGGAGCGCAAAGGAAAGCACCGAGACGUGCGAGAGGCCAGGCGCGCUCCUCUCCGCGCGGUCGGAGCCGGGGGCUGAAGACCACUCGGCAGAGAGCCCCGCGGCAUCGGGGGCACCGUACUCUUUUGUUUGUUUGUCGUCGUUGUUGUGUAUUUCCUAAAGAACAAAACACAGACCCGAAGCGUACCCCGGGGAUUAACGUGUGAGCAAAACUGCCUGCGUUUAUCGACAGCGUAUCUUAACUGAUGCCACCUCGUAGCGCUGUAAAUAAAAAGUCUGCAUAAUACCGUGAAGAUUCCAUCUUUUAGAGUACUCGGAAUCUGAUGUGUUUGAGUUCUGUCCCAGAAAACCUCUCGGAGAAUCAGACAGCUUGUGAAUGCAGCAGCUUGGAAUUCAGGUCUUCCUGCGCAGGUCCUCCCCUGCUCCUUUCCAGAGCUUUAAGGACACUGACCCUGCCUCCAAACCCAGGAGAUUUGCCUCUUAAACGCUACUGGCACAGCCGGCACGGGGAGCAGGAGGGGUUCGCAUUGACAGGAUUCCAGGCAAAAGCCGGAGUUAAAGAGCACAGCGGCCCCCUCCUCCUUGGUUCUCAUCUAUUUAAAACUGCUCUAAAAUAGAUCUUUUAAAUAGAUGAGAGACGGGAGCUUUCUGUAGCCGCAGCGUAAGGGAGCCACAUCGACAACAAAGGCUCCCGCCUCUGUGCCUCAGUGCCCUGAGCUCAAACCACUGCUCGAGGAGAAAAUGGCACCGGGGGCUCAAAAAUCCCCACGGGGCUACACUGGAGCCUGAGCUCCAGAGGUUCGGAAGGAAACUGAAGAAGAAGUAGAUCCACCUUGAAAAUAACUCAGAAAUGAGCUGCUGAGACCGCUGGCUCCUCCCUCGGCGAAUGUGUACGUCUGCGGUGUUGUCUUUAGCACCCCGAUCAGCUGAACUGCUCACUCUUCCAACGGAUGAUUACUGUCAAUCCUAAGCACGCCAAAUAUUUUUACAGUGUUUGGGGAACCAAAAAAAAAAAAAAAAAUACCUUGAAACCAGAGAAGUGGUGAGAAGACUGAGCGAGCGGCGUGACACUGAUGUGGUGCUCGGGAUUGCUGCUCUGCACAAGGCCGCUGUCCUUCAGAAGUUUUCCGGCAUGAGAUCACGACUACUUGUGUGGCUGGGUUUGUUGUACAGAGGGCAAAAGCUGCAUCAUUCCACAGCAGGAGCCGAGUGCUUUUAAGAAAUGUAGGCUUUAAGUCACGUCACGCAGAGGGCAAGGGCGGUGUAUCACCGGCUACUGUGCAGCAAAUGGUGAGGGACCGCAAGAGAAACAGAUCCACGAAGGUGGAUGCCUUGCAAACAGUGAUCCGGGUUCAGAAACGCUACUGAAAAAAUUCGUAUGGAAAUCCCUGCUUCCAUAGACCAAGAAGCACAUCUAACCAGCACCAAAUGGCUGGGUGCUGCCCUUUCAGAAACAAGCCAAGCAUUUACUACAGCUCCUUGAGCAAACAGUAUCGCUGCAAGAGAGAAAACUCUUCUGGCUGCCUCCCACUUCCGAAAGAAAAGGCAUCAGCUGGGUGUGCUAUUAGAUGCAGGAGUGGGCAUCCCGCACCACCUGCCAGCUACACCACUUCUGUUCCUUUCCCCUUCUGAUUUGCGUCUGAAGGGUGAACACAGAGAAACAUAGAGAAGGGUCCUCAGUCUGUACAGCUUUCACCAGAGGGGCCGUACUUUGGGUGCUCUGUGGUGAGGGUUUGGCUGAGGUGGGCCGAGCUGGUCGGAACACCAUGAGCAGGAGACUUGCUGCAUGACAAGAUGGCAGGAUUGUUUCAAACUCCUGUAUUCAAACCAAAAUGAGAGCUAAGCCUCCAUAUACACUUCUGUUUGAUUCUCAUUACUUUGGGGCCAGCUCCAUGAGGAUACUGUAAGGGUAAUACAGUGACCCUCAACUUAGCCACAGAGGCUGCUCAGGAGAGGCUAUCUCUAGGUGUGAGCUGAGGAAGCACCUGCCAACAGGCUGCUUUGGUCAGGAAAAUCCUCCGGCACAUUGGAUAUACCUACCUGAUCGGAAUGCUCAGAAGGCUUCACAGCAGACAACGAAGAAAAAAAAUGCUUUGGUUAUCACAGAAGAACUUUGUGGAGGGUGAGAGGAAAGGAAGAAAUUGCCUACGAACAGACACUGGAGAGUGUUUUCUUCAGAGGACUACAGCUCCCAGAUGCUUCUGCUCCUUUCUGCUGCUCUAAGUUCUGCAGUUACUCAUCACUUGACUCUAAGCGGUUCCAGUCUGUUAUUCUGUAUCACAAUACAUGUUGAAUUGGUGGCAUCACAUUCCAUUCCAGCAAAAGUGACUGAAAACCCUUCCUGUCUCAUAGGCAGUGGGUGUUCUACUUUUCUUUCAAGUCCCCCUUUCUUUUCCCCUUCUCCCUCUGCCUCUCUUCACUCCACCAUGCAGUCACCACUUCUGCCAUCCCUGAGCAGCCAUGCAAGACAAGCACAAACUGUCUGGAGGGCUGAAAAUGGAAGACACGGCAGAUGGAAACACCAAAAUCAUCCUUUUCUGUAGGCUCUCUAAAAGCAGAGAUGCAAGAGAAUUUUGUACACUGCUUUUUUGUUUUUUUUUUUUCUUUUUUUUUCUUUUUGUGACUUGACACAGAUAUACCUGCUUGAUCUGGAUGCUCAGGAGGCUCUACAGCAGACAAUGAAGAAAACAUGUAGCUGUAGAUGUCCCUGUUUAUUGCAGGGCAGUUGGACUAGAUAACCUUUAAAGGUCCCUUCCAACGUAAACAAUUCUACGAUUGUAUGACUUCUGAGAUUUCUGAUUUUAAAACUUUAAGUGAUCUUUAUGCUGUUAGUAAAUUCUUUUAAAAUUAUAAGGAAGUAGUGCUACAUAAAGUGAAACUGUCAAAGACUUUACACAUUGAUUUGGCAAGCUAGGAUUGUCAGCAGUACUCACCUGUAUGUCACAACCAGGGACAUCUGUUAGAAAGAGAGGUGCCACCGCUGUGUUAACUCACACAUAGAUGACUGUAUCACCAAGGAGGCUGUGCAGCCUGAGACCUGCCACAGUCAUGCUGGGCUGAAGUGAGAUUUUUGUUGAAAAGAAGAUAAUGGGUGGUUCUGGGCACCACUGAGGCAUAUGCAGGGCAGUAAAGUAGACAAUGGCAAUCUUAGAGACCCAGAGAUGCAACAGACCAUCCAUCUCUGGUCAUUUCUGUCACAUGAAAAAGCAAACUUAAGUAAUCUCUGAAUUUUCUGAGCAUGGACAGCAUCUCAGAAAAAAUCACAAAUGCUGAACAAUUCUGAAGUAUGUUUUAACUCUGUUGGAUUUCUGAUCAAGAAUUGAAGUACAAAGAUACAUUGCUAGUAAGUAAAAUGCUUGCUGUUAUAUCUCUGCGUCUAUUUCGUACAUUAGAACUUGGAUUUUCCUCAAGCAUGUCUUAAAACUAGAAGGAAGGAUCCAUUUUUACUGUAAUCAAUUACUCACCUGAUUUACAUUCCAUGUUGGUUAGAAUUCAAGGAGUGAUGGAGCCCUAUGUCCCCAGCUGGCUCAUGCUUACUAUAGACAAGUGAUCACAUUUGGUCCUUGUCAGGCUUAAGAAUUCAGUUAUCCAAAAUUCAGUCAUGACAAUUCAUUUCAAACAGCAGUUAUAGCUACACUUUAAUCAGAACUGGCAAUGGAAGCAACAUAUUUUCUGACUGUACAAUUACUGAUCACUUUAGGCCUAUGUAAAGCAGGAAAAUAAAUUAAUUACAAAUUUGCUUCAGAAUACUACACCAAAGAUUUAAUAUAAACUGAUUUUUCCCAUUUGCCAGAUGUUAACAGGAUCGCUGGUGAAUUUGCACAGGUGAUUAAGCUCUUUGAGGGUAAAUCUUAUAAGAAAAAUAUUUUAAAAUAUGAUUUAUUAUUUUUAACUACUUCAAUUGAAAGCAAUAAAAUUCUCUGCUCGGUGCUUAA